AAAAGGGGGGCCAGUGCUGACCUGUCUUCUUGUUGUUCUGCAAACCGUACAGCAGGCAGAUAGGGCACGAACUGAUUGCAAUCUCUGCCUUCAAACCUUCAGUGAUGAACAACAGCUGAGCAAUUUCAGAAUGUUGUGUUUUGGGGUUCAUCUCCCCAUCUAACAAAACGCUAAUCCUCAAAUGACUUCAAUUUCCACUUCCAAAGUGUUCUGAAGAAAUCUCGUGCUGUCUGGUGCAACGCUUUGGUCUUUGAGCUGCACAGAGGUGGUCUGAUCCCUAUCUCACUGGGAACUGGGAAACAAUGUCACCUAAGUCAACAUUCCAGCUCAUCUUUAGGGGUGGAAACCUUGAAGCUUUUCAGACACAAUCAUUCUUCACAUCCCUCCUUGAUAAAAUUCUCAGCAGUCAGCACAGAUUUAAGAAGAAAAAAAAAAGACACUGCCUGUCCUGUUUCUCAACAUUUGGAAAGUUUUAAGGAGUACUGCAGGUGAGAGUAUGGUCACAAAUGUAUUUUAUUUUUCAUAAUUUCUCUCCAGAUUUUAGAAUGAAAAAUGUUAACGUCUGUUCUAACAU
ensembl:lncRNA